rnacentral:rRNA from 1 species
GAUGAACGCUGGCGGCGUGCCUAAUACAUGCAAGUCGAGCGAACAGACCAUGUUCUUUCUCCUCUCACGUUAGCGGCGGACGUGUGAUUAACACGUGUAUAACCUACCUAUUAUACUGGUAUAACUUCGUGAAUCCGGAUCUAAUACCCUAUAAUAUAUUUAACCUCAUUGUUCAAUAGUUAAUUUCGUUUUUGCUGUCUCUUUUAGCUGGAUCCUCGCCGCAUUAGCUAGUUGGUAAGGUAACGGCUUACCAAGGCAACGAUUCGUAGCCGACCUGAGAGGGUGAGAGGCGACACUGGAACUGAGACACGGACAAGAAAACGACGGGAGGAAGCAGUAGGGAAGAUGAGGGAAUGGGCGAAAGCAGGACGGAGGAAGGCGGAGGGAGUGAAGAAGGGCUUAGGAGCGUAAAAAAAUGGUAUUAGGGAAGAAGAAAAGAGGAAGAAAAGAUGAAGGUAAUGACGGUAACGAAAGAGAAAGCAACGGCUAACUACGUG